GGAGACAGAGAUCCUCAGAUUUCAGUUCAGCUGCAAAGUCACAUUCUACAGCAUCGGAGAGCGGAGGGAUCAUCGCAAGUGUAUCACAGUCUGAUAGCAGCAUCCUUGCUCCAUUCCUGCAAAUUAGAACCCAAAACGUCUCCUGACAUGGUCGACUGUUGCCAAUGGAGGCAGGUUCCCAAUGAAGGCAGGACUCAAACAAUGGAGACGAGGAAAAGCUGACUAAUAUGUGUUAAGUCACAGAAUUCAGGGCAAAGGAAAACUUUAAUUACCGAGUAAUGUAUAACUCAGAUCACCACCGGUGUCAAUCAUUAAUGGCCAUUGCAAGAGGAACCAGGGUAGCAAAGGGAUUUAGUGUCGUAACUGAUCCAUCACUAGGGGGAUGGCUCCUUCUCCACUGACAAUGAACAAGAUUGUUGAGUGCUAAUUUACUACAAGAAAGUCUGAUUUCACAGCCCUGGGACUUCUUUUCUCCUCCCCAAGGCCAAUCGGAACCCUUAAGUUUUACAAUGCAUUGUAUCGUCAGACAAUAGUCUUGAAUCAUAACAAUCCGGGGAAUAGCUCUUUCUACUAAUGCUAAGAUCACACAGUGGUUCCCAUAGGGGUCAGAAGACCAGCCUUUUCUCUGCGCUGAGAUUUGUUGUGACAACUACAUAAAGAUCAUGACUAGAGUGCUGCCGUCACCUUCCUUAGUGAGCAGCAAAGGAUCCCGGUCCACCACACCACCAUGUUUACGCUCUGAUGAGACCCUGGAUGGGAACACAGAGGACGCUCUGCAAGAGAGUGUGCAUCUGAAUCAGCCCACACCUCUAACGGGCAAGGGUCUGAAUUCUGAAGCAAACAACGAGUAACUUGGGCUGCCUUCUGUUGCAAAGGACAGGAGCCUAUC